rnacentral:rRNA from 1 species
GAUGAACGCUGGCGGCGUGCCUAAUACAUGCAAGUCGAGCGAACAGACGAGGAGCUUGCUCCUCUGACGUUAGCGGCGGACGGGUGAGUAACACGUGGAUAACCUACCUAUAAGACUGGGAUAACUUCGGGAAACCGGAGCUAAUACCGGAUAAUAUAUUGAACCGCAUGGUUCAAUAGUGAAAGACGGUUUUGCUGUCACUUAUAGAUGGAUCCGCGCCGCAUUAGCUAGUUGGUAAGGUAACGGCUUACCAAGGCAACGAUGCGUAGCCGACCUGAGAGGGUGAUCGGCCACACUGGAACUGGGACACGGUCCAGGCUCCUACGGGAGGCAGCAGUAGGGAAUCUUCCGCAAUGGGCGGAAGCCUGACGGAGCAACGCCGCGUGAGUGAUGAAGGUCUUCGGAUCGUAAAACUCUGUUAUUAGGGAAGAACAAAUGUGUAAGUAACUAUGCACGUCUUGACGGUACCUAAUCAGAAAGCCACGGCUAACUACGUG